CCUACGGGAGGCAGCAGUGGGGAAUUUUGGACAAUGGGGGCAACCCUGAUCCAGCCAUGCCGCGUGCGGGAAGAAGGCCUUCGGGUUGUAAACCGCUUUUAGUCGGGAAGAAAAGGUGAUCCCUAAUAAGGAUGACUCUUGACGGUACCGGCGGAAUAAGCACCGGCUAACUACGUGCCAGCAGCCGCGGUAAUACGUAGGGUGCGAGCGUUAAUCGGAAUUACUGGGCGUAAAGCGUGCGCAGGCGGUUGAUUAAGUCUGAUGUGAAAGCCCCGGGCUCAACCUGGGAAUGGCAUUGGAAACUGGUCGGCUUGAGUAUGGCAGAGGGGGGUGGAAUUCCGCGUGUAGCAGUGAAAUGCGUAGAGAUGCGGAGGAACACCGAUGGCGAAGGCAGCCCCCUGGGCCAAUACUGACGCUCAGGCACGAAAGCGUGGGGAGCAAACAGGAUUAGAUACCCUGGUAGUCCACGCCCUAAACGAUGCUCACUAGGUGUUGGGGAAGCGAUUCCUUGGUACCGUAGCUAACGCGUGAAGUGAGCCGCCUGGGGAGUACGGCCGCAAGGUUAAAACUCAAAGGAAUUGACGG
rnacentral:rRNA from 1 species